CAUGCUAUACUUUUUUACAUAUUAACUGUUUACACUGCAUCUAAACAUUCUGAGGUAUGUUGGCUCUUAAGGUAUUUACUGAGUACAACUUAGUAGUGAAUCAAAGUGCUGAAUAGCAAACACACAAUUGAAUAAGUUUGCAUAAGAAAGUGAUUCAGAUGCACAAAGGACUAAGUCUGUAAUGUUGCCUUUGUGUCAUUCAUCGACAACAUAAGCCAGUGGACUCAACAAGUUGGGAAGCUGUAUAGGAAAAUGAGUAGAGACUCAAAUAUAGAAAAGCAAAUACGCAGUGGAAUAAGAGAUUGCAUAAGAAAAUCAGCCAGAUGUAUAAAGAAUUAAAUCUGUGUUUGCCGCCUGUGUAUCAUUCAUCUUCAACAUGAGGUUCAGCUGAUUGGCUAAAGGUCGUAGAGUAUACUAUACUUCAGUUAAAUUAGUGCUGCAUUGUUCAAUACAAGAAAAAAACUGACCAUUAAUCAAUGAAGAAGACAGGUUCUUUUGAUUUGCUGUUAAGCGCUAGUCACUUUGGAUUUCAGUCAGCUUGUAUUGAUGCCUUACUUCCUUGUAGCUGAUAUUAUAUCGAGUUUAGCUCCCAUCUAGUAUUAUUUGUAGACUGAGUUUAGUACUCCUAAUAUUAAUAUAUCCAUGAAACUACUAGCUUAAGAAAUCACUUUUGUUCCUCGGCAAGAUCUUAUUUUCUUGUAUGACACUCUUUGAUAAUUGUUGAAUAGUGUUCCAGUUUUGUCGAGAGUCUUGUAUAUAUUGACCAGCCUAAAAACCGUUGCUUAAUGGUAAACCAAACUUCAAAUCUUGCAAAGUCAAGCUCAAAUGUGCUUUACCAAUUUGCUGCUAUUUUAAAUCUUAAUCUUGCGGUUAUAAAUCUUCUACCUCUGCCAGCUUUAGAUGGGGGCUCUUUGGCUUUGAUAAUUGUACAAGCAGUUAGAGGUGGGAAGAAACUCCCCUCGGAAGUAGAGCAAGGGAUAAUGCCUUCAGGAUUUAUGCUUGUUCAGUUCUUGGUCAGUUCCUAAUAGUAAGAGACACAUUAAUACCUUGAUUUCAUCAAAGACUUGCGAUGAUUGUCAGAAACACUCUAAAUUUUCACCCCCGUCGUUGACGCAAUUUGAAUACGAUCAGGGUUUUGAAAAUUAUACAUUGCCUUUCAAGCUAAGUAGUGUCAUUUAGAUACGCUAUGCACUCUCCAAACUUUUAUGUGUCUUGCAGUUGUUUAAGCAUACAAAACUUAAGAUAUACUGUGCAUAACUCUUGGUUACAUACUGCAUCAGUUCAUGUUGUUUAACUGUAUAGUACAUCCCAAUUUAAGUGUGCAUUUCAUAAGAUAGAGGGUAACAUAGAAUCUUUAUUUAGUUAAAGCAUUACAUUGUUCUUUCAAUUUAUAAUGGAGUAGUUCACUUUGGAUUGAUACUUUGUUUUGAUCUUAUCAAAUUUUAUCAAAAUCGUGGUGAUAAUCUUCUUGUUAACAGGCGUAUUCUUGCACUCUAUCUGGCCAUUUGUAACUCUCACUUUUAAUUG